rnacentral:rRNA from 1 species
AUGCAGUCGAGCGAAUGGAUUAAGAGCUUGCUCUUAUGAAGUUAGCGGCGGACGGGUGAGUAACACGUGGGUAACCUGCCCAUAAGACUGGGAUAACUCCGGGAAACCGGGGCUAAUACCGGAUAACAUUUUGAACCGCAUGGUUCGAAAUUGAAAGGCGGCUUCGGCUGUCACUUAUGGAUGGACCCGCGUCGCAUUAGCUAGUUGGUGAGGUAACGGCUCACCAAGGCAACGAUGCGUAGCCGACCUGAGAGGGUGAUCGGCCACACUGGGACUGAGACACGGCCCAGACUCCUACGGGAGGCAGCAGUAGGGAAUCUUCCGCAAUGGACGAAAGUCUGACGGAGCAACGCCGCGUGAGUGAUGAAGGCUUUCGGGUCGUAAAACUCUGUUGUUAGGGAAGAACAAGUGCUAGUUGAAUAAGCUGGCACCUUGACGGUACCUAACCAGAAAGCCACGGCUAACUACGUGCCAGCAGCCGCGGUAAUACGUAGGUGGCAAGCGUUAUCCGGAAUUAUUGGGCGUAAAGCGCGCGCAGGUGGUUUCUUAAGUCUGAUGUGAAAGCCCACGGCUCAACCGUGGAGGUCAUUGGAAACUGGGAGACUUGAGUGCAGAAGAGGAAAGUGGAAUUCCAUGUGUAGCGGUGAAAUGCGUAGAGAUAUGGAGGAACACCAGUGGCGAAGGCGACUUUCUGGUCUGUAACUGACACUGAGGCGCGAAAGCGUGGGGAGCAAACAGGAUUAGAUACCUGGUAGUCCACGCCGUAAACGAUGAGUGCUAAGUGUUAGAGGGUUUCCGCCCUUUAGUGCUGAAGUUAACGCAUUAAGCACUCCGCCUGGGGAGUACGGCCGCAAGGCUGAAACUCAAAGGAAUUGACGGGGGCCCGCACAAGCGGUGGAGCAUGUGGUUUAAUUCGAAGCAACGCGAACCUUACCAGGUCUUGACAUCCUCUGAAAACCCUAGAGAUAGGGCUUCUCCUUCGGGAGCAGAGUGACAGGUGGUGCAUGGUUGUCGUCAGCUCGUGUCGUGAGAUGUUGGGUUAAGUCCCGCAACGAGCGCAACCCUUGAUCUUAGUUGCCAUCAUUAAGUUGGGCACUCUAAGGUGACUGCCGGUGACAAACCGGAGGAAGGUGGGGAUGACGUCAAAUCAUCAUGCCCCUUAUGACCUGGGCUACACACGUGCUACAAUGGACGGUACAAAUGAGCUGCAAGACCGCGAGGUGGAGCUAAUCUCAUAAAACCGUUCUCAGUUCGGAUUGUAGGCUGCAACUCGCCUACAUGAAGCUGGAAUCGCUAGUAAUCGCGGAUCAGCAUGCCGCGGUAAAUACGUUCCCGGGCCUUGUACACACCGCCCGUCACACCACGAGAGUUUGUAACACCCGAAGUCGGUGGGGUAACCUUUUGGAGCCAGCCGCCUAAGGUGA